rnacentral:misc_RNA from 1 species
AUUGCCUCUGAGACUGCGUGGGUUCAAUCUGGCGCAAUCCUCGGAGAACUUUAUUAUGAGAUUGCCAAGAAAAGUAAAGUUCAUGGCUUUCCAGCCGGAGUUUGCCCGACAAUUGGCGUCGGCGGUCACUUUAGUGGAGGAGGGUAUGGGAACAUGUUGAGAAAAUAUGGGCUUUCUGUGGAUCAUAUCAUUGAUGCAAAGCUAGUUGAUGUCAAUGGUAAUAUCCUGAACAGAAAAUCCAUGGGGGAGGAUUUGUUCUGGGCAAUUAGAGGAGGUGGUGGAGCAAGCUUCGGAGUCAUCCUUUCUUGGAAGAUCAAACUAGUUCGAGUCCCUCAAAGGGUGACUGUUUUCAUGGUGGACAGGACCUUGGAAGAAGGAGCAACUGAUAUUGUUUACCAGUGGCAGCAAAUUAUAAGUAAAAUAGAUAAAGAACUUUUCAUCAGAGCACAACCACAAGUAGUUCAAAAUGAUGAAGAUGAGAAGACAGUAAGAGUCACUUUCAUCGGCCAAUUCCUAGGAAAAAGUGGGAAGCUUCUUAGCUUGUUGACAAAGAGCUUCCCUGAACUGGGUUUAAAGCAAGAAGAUUGCAAAGAAGUGAGUUGGCUAGAAUCUACAAUGUUUUGGACCAAUAUUCCACUUGGAACACCUCCUGAAGCUCUACUCAACAGGAGUAUUCCAGCAGAGUUGUUCUUCAAAAGCAAAUCAGAUUAUGUGAAAGAGAUAAUUUCGAAGCAGGAUUUGGAGAACAUUUGGAAGCAGUUCCUGAAAACAGAAGGAAUGGUAAUGCAAUGGAACUCUUAUGGAGGAAUAAUGAAAGAGAUUUCAUCUACAAAAACUCCAUUUCCUCAUAGAGCUGGAUAUCUAUUCAAAAUUCAGUAUUUUACUCUCUGGUUUACAGAAGGAACAGAGGCUACAGAUCGUCAUAUAAGAUUGGCAAGAGAAAUGUAUGAUUCAAUGGCUCCAUAUGUGAGCAAAAACCCAAGAGAGGCAUUUCUCAAUUAUAGAGAUCUUGACAUUGGAAGAAAUCCAAGCAAUGAGACCAACUUCCAGGAAGCUCAAGUCUAUGGUAGCAAAUAUUUCAAGGGUAAUUUUCUGAGAUUGGCGGCUGUGAAGAAGAGGGUCGAUCCUGAUAAUUUCUUCAAGAAUGAACAGAGUAUUCCACCCUUUGAUUAACAAAAUGGCCAUGGUGGCUUUGUAUUUUGAUACUUUUUUAUAAUAAUUAAGGAUAUGUUUGUUUACCCUUAUUAUAAAACAAUUAAAGGAAAUAAAAUAUAAAAGAAG